UGGUAGCAAUACUAGCUGAAACUGGCGAACGGGUGAGUAACACGUGAGAAUCUACCUUGAGAUGGGGGAUAGUCUAUAGAGAUAUAGAGUAAUACCGCAUAUGUCGAGAGAUGAAAGGUGCAAUUGCACUGUCACAAGAUGAUCUUGCGAUCCUUUAGCUAGUUGGUAGGGUAAAAGCCUACCAAGGCGACGAUGGAUAGCCGGCCUGAGAGGGUGUACGGCCACAUUGGGACUGAGACACGGCCCAGACUCCUACGGGAGGCAGCAGCUAAGAAUAUUCCGCAAUGGGAGCAAUCCUGACGGAGCGACGCCGCGUGAACGAGGAAGGCAGAAAUGUUGUAAAGUUCUUUUAUACGGGAAGAAUAAGGUAAGGAGUGGAAAGCUUUACUGAUGACGGUACCGUAUGAAUAAGCCACGGCUAACUACGUGCCAGCAGCCGCGGUAAUACGUAGGUGGCAAGCGUUGUUCGGAUUUAUUGGGUGUAAAGGGCGUGUAGGUGGUCAUAUAAGUGUGAGUUGAAAUACCAAAGCUUAACUUUGAGUAUGGCUUGCAAACUGUAUGGCUAGAGUGCAGAAGGGGAGACUGGAAUUCCGUGUGUAGGGGUGAAAUCUGUAGAUAUGCGGAAGAAUACUUGUGGCGAAGGCGAGUCUCUGGCCUGUAACUGACACUGAAACGCGAAAGUGUGGGGAGCAAACAGGAUUAGAUACCCUGGUAGUCCACACUGUAAACGUUGUACACUAGGCGUUAGAGGUAUCGACCCCUCUAGUGCCGAAGCAAACGCGAUAAGUGUACCACCUGGGGAGUAUGCUCGCAAGGGUGAAACUCAAAGGAAUUGGCGGGGGCCCGCACAAGCGGUGGAGCAUGUGGUUUAAUUCGACGAUACGCGAAGAACCUUACCAGGGUUUGACAUUCAAGUGACAAAUACAGAGAUGUAUUCUUCCCUUCGGGGACAUUUGAACAGGUGCUGCAUGGCUGUCGUCAGCUCGUGUUGUGAGAUGUUGGGUUAAGUCCCGCAACGAGCGCAACCCUUACUGUUAGUUGCCAUCAGGUAAAGCUGGGCACUUUAACGGAACUGCCGGUGACAAACCGGAGGAAGGUGGGGAUGACGUCAAGUCCUCAUGGCCCUUAUGUCCUGGGCUACACACGUGCUACAAUGGGCUGUACAAAGGGUUGCAAACCCGCAAGGGCGAGCCAAUCCCAAAGAACAGUCCGUAGUUCAGAUUGGAGUCUGCAACUCGACUCCAUGAAGCCGGAAUCGCUAGUAAUCGCAGAUCAGCACGCUGCGGUGAAUACGUUCCCGGGCCUUGUACACACCGCCCGUCACACCACCCGAGUUGAGGACACCCGAAGUUAUUACCUUAACCGCAAGGAGAGGGGUACCUAAGGUGUGCUUAGUGAGGGGGGUGAAGUCGUAACAAGGUA
rnacentral:rRNA from 1 species